UACGUAGGUGACAAGCGUUGUCCGGAUUUACUGGGCGUAAAGAGCGCGCAGGCGGUCGUUCAAGUCGAGUGUGAAAGCCCCCGGCUCAACUGGGGAGGGUCAUUCGAUACUGAUCGACUCGAAGGCAGGAGAGGGAUGCAGAAUUCCAGGUGUAGCGGUGAAAUGCGUAGAUAUCUGGAGGAAUACCGGUGGCGAAGGCGGCAUCCUGGACCGACAUUGACGCUGAACGGCGAAAGCUAGGGGAGCAAACGGG
rnacentral:rRNA from 1 species